AUUGAACGCUACGCGGGAGUGCCUUACACAGUGCAAGUCGAACGGCAGGCAGUAAGAGAGCUUGCUCUCUUGAUGGCGAGUGGCGAACGGGUGAGUAAUGUAUCGGAACGUGCCCAGUAGCGGGGGAUAACUACGCGAAAGCGUAGCUAAUACCGCAUACGCCCUACGGGGGAAAGGAGGGGAUCCGCAAGGACCUUUCACUAUUGGAGCGGCCGAUAUCGGAUUAGCUAGUUGGUGAGGUAACGGCUCACCAAGGCGACGAUCCGUAGCUGGUUUGAGAGGACGACCAGCCACACUGGGACUGAGACACGGCCCAG
rnacentral:rRNA from 1 species